GGGCGCUGCUCAGGGGAUUGCGGAGGCCGGUUUUCCAGUAGGCUUACGUGUUUACCGCGUAGGGCAAAGCCUUGCCAAAUUCCAGGCCAAAGGAGCGGCGAGGGUGGGGACUCACGGGAAGUUAAACAGCCUCGUCGGCGUCCUCGCGGCUCCAAAACCGGGCUCUAGGCGGCGGCGACCGCAGCCGUUAUGGAGGCCACCGCGGCUACGGCCGCAACUGAGGCCGCCCCAGGUGGAGCGAAGGCCUGGAGGGGAAUCUUGAUCCUGGGCCAGCCACCUGUCAAGAGGAGGCGGAGCGUCGUGCCUCUGGAAGACUGGAUGAAUAUUCUCCAGGAGCCUGACGAAGGCGAAGAAGUCUUUGCAGAGGAAAUUGAAUACUGUCUGAUGCUACAAUUCAUAUGGACCCUUUCCUGGAUUGAAGCUUGACUUUUUUAAAAAAGGUUUCAAUAAAUUGCUUAUACCUAUGAAGAGAUGCAAAAGAACCUUCAAAAUAAAGCAAAGGACUUGAAGAAAGAGAAGGAAGACAUGAAGAAGAGGAUGUCAUUUAGGUGAAGGGCCAUGCUGGAUAAGGAACUGGCUGCCUCUGUGAACAUCCUACUCAAGGCAUCUUCACUGCUGUACAUCCUUUUGAAAUCCCAGAGGUCUUCAGUCUCCCUGUGGAUUAAGGAGAUGUGCAGUAUUUAAAGUAGCUUCAGGAAGGCAUGGAAGAGGACUGAGUGCGGAAAGCUUUUUGUGCAUGCUGCUGGCCACCUCCAGCGGCUGCCUCCAGCCUCCAUCAGCUGCACUCUGGGGAAGAGGAGGCUGCCUUCUACCUCUCAGCAUCUCUGGAUUUCAUGUUCCUGUCAGCACAGAGGAGCUAAAUGGCCUUUAGAGGCUGAAGGUCUGAGGCUCCUAAAGCUGGAAGAAAAGGCUGGGCCAGUCAGGCCAAGCAAGAACACAGUGUAACUUGUCUCUGAGUGCUUCAUGGUUAAGGGGGAUAAGUGGGCACAAGGGCACAAGGAUGGUUAUAUGUAGAGACUGAGGGGAAGAAGCAGUGAGGAUGAGACUUGUCAUCUUCUUGAGUCAGUAGGCCUGCCUCAGGUGCCUAGGAUGUAAUUGCUCUGCUGCUUCUCAUGGGGAGGAGUGGCCCUCAUGACCUUGUUUACCUGGAAAAGUGUGGGAUGAAUGCCUCCUCAUAUGGGGAGUGGCAAGUGCUUUAGCAAAAGGAUAAAUUGCUAAUGGUGGCAUUUCAUGGAUCAGCAGGAUUAUUUCUCCUUGCUAAAGAGGAUUUUGUUGGUCCUGAACUCUGAGGAGGUGGGACUAGGAAUGGGCUCCAUGAGCCUGUGUAUGACUCAGGGAAUAUUAGGACUUUGGCACAGCCUCAUGGGUUGGGAGUAAGUGGCUCUUCCCUAGCCUGAAUGACAGACAUCAGAUCAUUCUGGUGCUUUGUCAGUGAAGAUGUAGAUUCUGAGCCCACCAAACUAACCUUUUCACUUGAGCACAGAAAACAGCCCCGGGAAUCGGACAGACCCCUGUCUUUCAGGUUUGCUUCACAGAGCCCCAGGGGUUGACAAUAGGUGCCUUGGAGACUGCCUGCAUGGGGAUUUUUAAAAAGCUUUCUUUGUUAAAGGUUUGUAAACCACCCCUCUGAGCCAGUUUUCAUUUUAUAGAUUACUGCAGGAAACUGAACUGCACAGAGGUCCAGAAAGUGGGUAGUGCAGGCUGUAGUGCUGAUAACUACUGUACUACUUGGAUCUUUGUGCUCCCAAAUACCAAAUGGAAGAGGAUCUCUGAGAGUCCUUUGCAAAGAUCUUGUAGGGACUUUAGGCUGGGGCCUUUGGAAAAUUCCAGAGGAUUCCAAUGGAGAUUUUGAGGGACUGCCUCAGAGGAACAAAGAGAAUGAUAAUGAUGAUGUCCCUGCUUUUUACAACAGAUCAUGUUCUGAUAUAUAUGCAAAUCUGUGUAAAGUAAACCCUACCUAAAAUGUACUGGGGACCCAA
rnacentral:sRNA from 1 species